rnacentral:tRNA from 1 species
GGGAGCGUGGCGGAAUUGGCAUACGCAGCGGACUUAAAAUCCGCCGCCUUCGGGCUUGAGGGUUCGAGUCCCUCCGCUCCUA